UACGGGGGGGGCAAGCGUUGUUCGGAAUUACUGGGCGUAAAGGGCUCGUAGGCGGCCAACUAAGUCAGACGUGAAAUCCCUCGGCUUAACCGGGGAACUGCGUCUGAUACUGGAUGGCUUGAGUUUGGGAGAGGGAUGCGGAAUUCCAGGUGUAGCGGUGAAAUGCGUAGAUGUCUGGAGGAACACCGGUGGCGAAGGCGGCAUCCUGGACCGGCAUUGACGCUGAGGAGCGAAAGCCAGGGGAGCAAACGGG
rnacentral:rRNA from 1 species